CAUGGUAGAUGACAAUUUUCCUCCCUCAUCUUCUGUAGCAAAGAAGCAAAUUAAGAGCCUUUUGCAAGUUAGAUUAGGGGACUGAAAAAUCCAGGGAGAUAACCUGAUUCUUCUGUACUAUGACUGGAGUAAAGCUGCCAAGAGUUAGGUUGAAUUUGGAGCCCUUUAAAAGUUGGUUCCAUAAGUGAGAAGGAGGGGCUAACAUGUGACCACUGUGCCCCUGAGAAUCCAUGAGAUGGAAAAGUACAGGCAAGAAGGCACUUAACGCUGUUCUCAGUUGGAAAAUGUCAGCCCUCCACACCUGUUUGGAUGUGAAGUGCAUUAUUAAUUUUAAUGACAAAAUGAAACUGCUAAUUAGUUUAAAUAUAAUGUUUAAAUGGUAUUGAAUUUCCUAUUGCCUGAUUAAAUAUAUCUGUAAUUGUAACAUCAUGUUUCUGAGAGCUUUAACGACUUCCUUAUUUUUAUGCAAUCAUUUUAAAGAUUGUGGUUAUAUCUAAUUUAAAUUUGCUGAUGAUUGAAUCUAAAUUCAAGUGAAGACCACAGCAUUAAUCCCAAAGGAGAAUUUUUUUAUGUUUAGAGGUGGAGAUAUUAGGGUAAUUCAGUAUAUUGCUCCUGUCAUCAAAGUUUUUGUUCAUUUGUGUGCCACAUCGAAUAGCAGCACUUCUCAAAGUUUGUCAACUGGAAAAGAAAAAGUGUUUAAAACUGUUUUUUCUUAAGCAAAUUUGGUGAUGUCAUCCAUAUCUAUGAUAUCGAUUGGUAAAAGGUCUGUCUUUGUUGAGGAUUUGAGCUCUCUUUUUAAGAGUUUAUUUUAUUUUAAAGGAACACAUACUUUGAAUAACAAUUCUCUGGGCAUGUUUAACUAACCUAGGUGGGAAAACCAUGGUGCUGUUUAAUUGUAAAUAGAUUGAUAUAAGAUUGGACCAGUACUUGAUGUGUAUAAUUUUAGUAUGUAGGGUUUAUGUGCUUUUUUUAAAAAAAAAAAAAAAAAGAUUCAAUUUUUCUCUUUGUCUUUGCCUUUAUUAUUGGUUUCUAAUUGUUUUUACUCUCUAUAAGGGUAAUUGCCUCAUUCUAAGUGAGAAUUGUGAAGGUUUUCCUCCUUUUUAAAACCUCUGCUCAAUAAAUAACAGGUUCAUUAUCACCAAA
rnacentral:lncRNA from 1 species